rnacentral:rRNA from 1 species
AUGCACGCUGGCGGCGUGCCUAAUCCAUGCAAGUCGAGCGCACAGAUGAGGAGCUUGCUCCUCUGACGUUAGCGGCGGACGGGUGAGUAACACGUGGAUAACCUACCUAUAAGACUGGGAUAACUUCGGGAAACCGGAGCUAAUACCGGAUAAUAUAUUGAACCGCAUGGUUCAAAAGUGAAAGACGGUUUUGCUGUCACUUAUAGAUGGAUCCGCGCCGCAUUAGCUAGUUGGUAAGGUAACGGCUUACCAAGGCAACGAUGCGUAGCCGACCUGAGAGGGUGAUCGGCCACACUGGAACUGAGACACGGUCCAGACUCCUACGGGAGGCAGCAGUAGGGAAUCUUCCGCAAUGGGCGAAAGCCUGACGGAGCAACGCCGCGUGAGUGAUGAAGGUCUUCGGAUCGUAAAACUCUGUUAUUAGGGAAGAACAAAUGUGUAAGUAACUAUGCACGUCUUGACGGUACCUAAUCAGAAAGCCACGGCUAACUACGUG